rnacentral:rRNA from 1 species
AGUGAACGCUGGCGGUAGGCCUAACACAUGCAAGUCGAACGGCAGCACGGGAGAGCUUGCUCUCUGGGUGGCGAGUGGCGGACGGGUGAGGAAUACAUCGGAAUCUACUCUGUCGUGGGGGAUAACGUAGGGAAACUUACGCUAAUACCGCAUACGACCUACGGGUGAAAGCAGGGGACCUUCCGGCCUUGCGCGAUUGAAUUAGCCGAUGUCGGAUUAGCGAGUUGGCGGGGUACAGGCCCACCAAGGGGACGAUCCGUAGCUGGUCUGAGGGGAUGAUCAGCCACACUGGAACUGAGACACGGUCCAGACUCCUACGGGAGGCAGCAGUGGUGAAUAUUGGACAAUGGGCGCAAGCCUGAUCCAGCCAUACCGCGUGGGUGAAGAAGGCCUUCGGGUUGUAAAGCCCUUUUGUUGGGAAAGAAAUCCAGCUGGCUAAUACCCGGUUGGGAUGACGGUACCCAAAGAAUAAGCACCGGCUAACUUCGUGCCAGCCGCCGCGGUAA